AAAGAAUCGUUGCUUUACAACUGUUCAAUAAAGUAUACAUUGCAUCAAACUAUUGUUAUUUUAAACGGACAAUGUAGGUCAUUCAACCGAGCUGGCUUGAUUUCAACGCGACUUUUGAAUGGAAGGAAACCCCUGUUGGGAUCUGGCGCCACCUCCUGAUUACAGCUGGCAGGCCAGCGUUUAAUGCGUGAUCCAUUUUACCGUGCAGUCGGAUUUCGAUUCACUGCGAAGAGACUGACAUUGUCUUUGGGACUACGCAAAAUUCUGCAAACGACGUUCGAUUGUGCAUGCAUUCAAACCUGAUAGAAGUGCCUGCCUGUUCAUGUUUUAAAACUCCACCAGAGUUUACAAAUAACUCGCAAUAUGUAUUAAUAAAAUUAACACACAAAAUGCAUGCAAUAGCCAUUUUGUUAAUAUGUCUGGAAAGAUCUAUAAAAUAAGCAAUGUUGUGAAAUGGUCGCAGAAAUAGAAUUACUCACGGGAACCGAUCUAUGUUUCAGAUAAACAUCUUACUACAUGUGUUUAUAAAUGAAUAAUUUCAAUGAAUUUGGGGCAUUUGGUAUUCUCCUGCCAUCCUCAAUAUUGAAUUUGUGCAGAGAAUUCAAAAACAGCGGUGCGCUAAAACGGCCAGUUAAUACCAUUGGUGAUGUU